rnacentral:rRNA from 1 species
AGCGAACGCUGGCGGCAGGCCUAACACAUGCAAGUCGAACGAACCUUUCGGGGUUAUUGGCGGACGGGUGAGUAACACGUGGGAACGUGCCUUUAGGUUCGGAAUAACUCAGGGAAACUUGUGCUAAUACCGAAUGUGCCCUUCUGGGGAAAGAUUAAUCGCCUUUAGAGCGGCCCGCGUCUGAUUAGCUAGUUGGUUGAGGUAAUGGCUCACCAAGGCGACGAUCAGUAGCUGGUCUGAGAGGAUGAUCAGCCACAUUGGGACUGAGACACGGCCCAAACUCCUACGGGAGGCAGCAGUGGGGAAUCUUGCGAAAUGGGCGAAAGCAUGACGCAGCCAGGCCGCGUGAAUGAUGAAGGUCUUAGGAUUGUAAAAUUCUUUCACCGGGGACGAUAAUGACGGUACCCGGAGAAGAAGCCCCGGCUAACUUCGUG